UGCAGCUUCAGGGCAGCGGGUCAAGGACUGGCAGGAGGUGAAGGACCAGGGUCCGGGUCCAAGAGGGGUCUCUUGCUGCAUAACAUCAAGAUGCCCAAAAUUGAGGAAAACAUGUUCCAAAAUGAUCCCAGUGAGGCAGAGAGUAGGGCUCAUAAGCCUAAAACACCAGGGCAGAGCCAGGAAAACAAGAGCUUCUGUUUAGAUGACCACUCUGCUGCAAAUGUGAAUAUUAUUUGGUCAUGAAAAAGAAGGAGAUUCUGCUAUUUGUGUCAACAUGGAUGAAACUGGAGGACAUUAUAUUAAGUGAAAAAAGCCAGAAGGAGAAAGACAAAUACUGUGUGCUAUCAUCUACACAUGGACUUUUAAAAAAUGAAGAAGUGAA